GUAGGAUAUGGUAUAGUGGUAUUGCUGCCGUCUUUCACAUGGGAGACCGGGGUUCGAAUCCUGGAUGGGGCA